rnacentral:misc_RNA from 1 species
AUCUAUAGCUAAGGCAAACUUUCUGCAGUUCAGCAAGAAACAAGAGGAUAGAAGUAGGUUUUAUAUUUGAGUACAAACAGUGGGGAAAUCAUUCCAAAACAGUUCAACACUGACAUUUCCAUAACAUAACAAUAAUUUUGGCAAUGAAAAACAUAAAUUCAAACUACAUCAGAUGACACAUUGGCCAACAAAAGCAUAACAUAUAGAUAGAAGAAAUAUGG